CUUUUGCAGAGCUUCAACUCCCCCUCUCUAUCCCCUCCACGUCCCCACACCACAACACAACUCAUGUCUCUCUCAUGACCUGCCACAAUGCCUAACAGAAGCAAAGAAAUAGGUCUUGAACGAUCGCCAGUACCAGUACCAGUACCAGUACCAGUUUUGCUUCCAUAAACAACAAUGACUCAUUCCUCCUAAUCAACAUCGUCGUCAAUGCCACCAUGACCACCGCUAGUGAACUUUCUAAUCGGCAAGGUCUAAUACAAGAACAAACAAUAUAUAAUUGGCUGCAGGCAAUUUCCAUGUACAACUCUUUUAUAUGUUUAUUUGUUUAUUUUGGGUGUUCCUAGUAGUGUUGUUCUACAGUAUAAUUAAUUUCAAUAAAAGCAGCUUUGAAGAAUUAAAAUGAAUAAUA